AAAGGGAGACCUAAUUCAGGUAAGAGACGAAAAAAAAGUAGUCCCUACCAGGAAUCAAUCCCAAAAGGUCGGAGCGAGGCGAAAUUGGCUUUCAAACUAGGUUCUGGGUUCAAACAAGACCUGAAUCAGGAACAAGGGCUAUUAGCUCAGGUGGUUAGAGCGCACCCCUGAUAAGGGUGAGGUCCCUGGUUCGAGUCCAGGAUGGCCCACCUGCACAGGUGGCAAAAACAAGAGAAGCGAGGAAUCAGCACCUUAUCUUAUAUACAUAUAUAAGAGAGAAUGCUGGCUCUGAGUACAGAGUCCAGAGGAACCUUGAAAACUGCAUAGAGCUAGGUGAAAAAGCCAAAAAAGAAGACCGCAAG
rnacentral:tRNA from 1 species